UUGGUUCUGAAUCAAGACACAUGUUUGCGGUAGCUAUUGGUUUCAAACAGGAGCCAAGAGUGAUAGCUUCCUUUGGUCUUUUGGCUAUUCACUAUCUUGGUGGGAAUGGUCAAUUCAUUCAGAAGAAACAUGA
ensembl:snoRNA